CUGAAGGAAGGCUGAGUACAGCUGUAUAAGGUCUAUUUCAAAGCCAAACCGAGUCCAAAAAAAAAAAAAAUCAAACUAGGCACCUCUCUAAAGACAACAUGCCCAAGACCCAACGCUGCAUCCUAACAUGAUUUAAAGGAAAGGAGGGGACUUCCCAGCGAGAUAGCAGAUGGGAAACCUAUCUAUCAGUGUACUCACUGACAGGAAGCAGCCAGCAGAACGCACAGUCACGCCUGUUCUUGCAGGAAUCGGUAGCUGUAAAGGAAGCCAGCAAGCCAGGUCUCACGGUUAUGAUCUUGGCUUCCUUCUGAGAGGGGCUAUGCCAAGCCAAAAAGAUCUGUAGUCCAGACUUCGUCUGGAGCUAACGGCAGCCGUGUGACACAGCCCUGACCAGUGGGCUCC
ensembl:lincRNA Gm14211 predicted gene 14211